rnacentral:lncRNA from 1 species
GGUUCUCUCUCUCUCUCUCUCUCUCUCUCUCUCUCUCUCUCGUGCUGCCUCCUCCCACAGCAUGGUGUCGGGCAUGCAGCGGAGACACAAUAAAUCCUUGCAGAUUAAUUCAAUAUGGAUUCCUCUGGCUACCCAGGACGGUGAUGAAUUCCAAAGAUGAAUUUCACUAUAUUGAACAUGGCCCAUUGCAUUUAAAAUUAAAGAGCUGGGAAGAAACCACCACUCGCUGAUGGUAAGUGUCUGGGGAAAUGAACACUCGUAUAUACUCUCAUGAAGGUGCACACUGUUAUGUUAUGAAACUUGGGGAAGACAAUCUGGCAAUAAGUUUCAAAACCUAUAUCUUUUGACCUGGCCAUUUCACUUCCAGGAAUUUACCCCAAGGGAAAGAGUUAGUUAAUAGCCUUUUUUUUUUUUUUUUUUUUUUUUUUUUUUUGCCAUUGAGUUGUAUGAGCUCUUUAUAUAUUUUGGAUAUUAGCCCCUUACCAAACAUACAGUUGGCAGAUAUUGUCUUCCAUUCUGGG